CACCUUCUCACUCCAGUUUCUCUCUCUAAAUUCUCUCUCUAUUUUCUCUCUCUAGACCUUUUAUCUCUUCUUAUGAGUUGUCUCUCUAUGGUCAUUCUCUCUCUCUGAUUGCAUCAUAGACCCUAAGAUAAACUUGAGAUGAAAAUAUGAUGACCUGAGAUUGCUCCGAAAUUCGUACAGUAGAUUGGAUUCCGAUCCGAUCCUUAUUCGAAAUUGAUAACAUCGAUCAUGAUUAAUCAAUAUUAAGUCAUCCUGAUAUGAUCUCUGAUGAUCUCAAUCAUGAUUGCCACUUUUGAAGGAUACGAAGAUUCUCUUUCCACUUUCUCUCUCUACUUUCUCUCUCUAAAAAGGUCUAUGAAUCCUGUACCGAGUCAUGCCUUCAUCUUUUAGGGGCUCAUGUUGAUUCCAACAAGAUGGCCCGAGGUUGCUUUAAUAUCCGUGCUGUAUGUCAACCUCAUUUAACCAUAUCAAGUAUCUUUCAAAUUCAUUAUUAAUGAACUUUAUUGAUUGAUCUUGAUCUAAUCUGUGCUUCAUAAUUUUUUGAUCAAGUCACUUAAAUCUGACCUUCAGAUCAGAGAUCCUGAAUUGCUCUGAUAUCUGGAUGGUCAGACACAUCCGAUCAACGGUCCUCUUUCCUUAUGAUUUAAUCUUAUUAUAUUCAUGGAAUAGAAAUUGACGAUGAUUUGAUAUUUUAAAUAGAAUUAGCUGAUUC
rnacentral:lncRNA from 1 species